GAUGAACGCUGGCGGCGUGCCUAACACAUGCAAGUCGAACGGGAACGGCCCACGGGCGAGAUUUCGGUCAAGCCCCGGACUGUUUUAGUGGCGGACGGGUGAGUAACGCGUGGGCAACCUGCCCCGUACCGGGGGAUAACACCUGGAAACAGGUGCUAAUACCGCAUAAUAAGAGGUCCUGCAUGGGACCUCCUUGAAAACUCCGGUGGUACGGGAUGGACCCGCGUCUGAUUAGCUGGUUGGCGGGGUAACGGCCCACCAAGGCGACGAUCGGUAGCCGGCCUGAGAGGGUGGACGGCCACAUUGGGACUGAGACACGGCCCAG
rnacentral:rRNA from 1 species